ensembl:lncRNA
UCCAAAAGAUGUGGAGGCAGUUGGAGUCGGCCAUGACGUGUUCUUGUAUCCCCGCCCUCCUGCUGCUUGUGUUUGGUGAGUUGGGAAUGCUGUGGGGAGCAGGGAACCAUGCCUGAAACAGGAAACCCACCAGAAAAAGGCUUGGGAUGGUGCCAAGGGUAGAGAAGGAACAGAUGCAGGAUGGAGACAGAUGCCUAAUAUACAAGAUAAAUGAAUGCUGUGUGAUUUUGAGAUGAGGGAGACUGCAUCUGGAACAGAAAGCCCACUUGAAAUGCGCUUGGGCUUGCUCAGAAGGAGAUGUCGGAGAUACAGGAGGGGGAUACAGUGGUGGAGUGGUUACUCCAGUGGUGAAGUGCGGGGACAUGAGUAGGAACAUGUGGAUGAGCAGGAUAUCGUCUCACUAAACAAAACAUACUUUACCCCUUGGUGUAGGUACUGGUGUGAGCACCCAGGACAUCUGUAGCUCCAGGGCUGAUGGCAAGUUUGAGAAUGGGUCCAGAAAAUGAAGACAUGGUGGGGGAGGAGAUGGGAAGAGAGAAAAGCAUUAUUCUCUCUGAAUUCUCAGUGUCCUCCCCUGGAGAGAAGAUUCUCUGGGCCUUGGAAUGCAGUAUGUUUUGCAACUAAUGAUGCCAAGGGCAUUCUCAUGCCAUCUCUCCAGGUAAUCUCCAGGCUCCAGCCCUGCUGCUUAACCCUUCCAGAGCUCAGGAAGGGGAAGUUGUCCUGGCUCAGUGUGUCCUUCAGAAGAUAAUACCUGCUACCUGGAUUGUCUUCUGCAAGGAUGGGAUGGAGUUGUACAACAUGAAAGCCCAAGAGGACAUGGUCAUCUACUCCAUGCUGCUGAACAUCUCUGCAAGAAGCAGUGGGACAUAUGCGUGUGGGUACCAGCAGAGGAACGAGAGCAAUUGGCUAAGGAGCUCUCCCCUCAGCACUCCCUUGGACCUACAUGUCACAGGUGGGACAUGACGCCAGGGUUGUGCGGACGCAGGGGAUGGGGGGACUGAACGUCACAUAGAUUUUCUGGAUCAAGAAAUGCCACAGAGAGACGUGGGCUCUGGAAUGGUCUCCCUCUCCAUCCCGUGGUGCAGAAAUGGGGCACUGCAGUGUCCACGCUCAGGAAGCAGGUGCAGGGUUUGGGCACGAUCCCUUUUGUGGGAAGGGAUGCUGCAAGGGUUAUUCAAAAAAUGUUUUGAGAAUAAGGAGUGGAAACUCAGGUGAUUUCCAAGUGUGAGGUUGUUUCUCACUGUGUGAGACCCUAUGCAGCAAGAAGACGAUGCUGUGGCCAUAGUGUGGGGAUGGACAGAUGUUGGUGUGCUUUGGGAUUUGGGUGCCUCCGCCUUCAACAAAACCACCUAAAAGAGGCUUUAGAUGGCGGCAGGAGGGGAAAUGCAUUAUGGAGUCUUGCAAUUGGGAUGCUGCCAUCCCAUCCCAUAGAGGCAGAGCAACAUACUAGUCCUUUCUUAUCCACAAGGUGAAGUAGAGAAUUGUGCUGCAGUAUCAUACAGUGCACGGUUGCAUCUCUGCCAUGCAUUUUUAAAUCCAGCACCGUUUACGUAAUCAGAUCAAAGGGAAC